GAGAUGCUCCCGACUUCACCUGGAGCUGAGUCAAGUUAGAGAACCGGACCAAGCGAAAUACAGGGGCAGAGGAGGCAGCAGGGAGGCCCUGGGAGCUCUUUGAAUCCCCAGGUAGCCUAUUCCUGCCUGGCACCACUGGGAUUCAUCAGGAGGGAGGCCAGAGGAGCAGGAGGUGGGAGGCGGAAAGCCUCGGGCAAGUUUUCAAGCCCGUCCUCUGUCUGGAAACAGACUCAGAGGUGUUGCAGGGGACACGGUGGGAGUGAGACCAGCCCUUCGGUGUGCGUGGGAUCUGGGGGAGGCCUGUGACUGCCGGCUUUCCCCUGCUUCUCUGACAACCUGCAUGACUCAGCAGAGGCAGCCAUAAUCCUGGAGAGCCCCGGUUUAAGAUCUCCAGUCAGAACCUUCAGGAAGGGGAGAGUGGCUCAUGGGCUGAGUGGAUAAACCACAAAAUGGGUAAUAUACUAUAGGAGGCAGAGUUUGAGAUCGACGUCCCCCUGCACCUGGGGCGCCUCCUGAUGGUGAAGCUGCGCAAACACAACGUGCUGUUGAGUCUCGACUGGUUCUGCAAGUGGAUCUCAGUGCAGGGCCCGGGGACCCAAGGCGAGGCCUUUUUCCCCUGCUACCGCUGGGUGCAGGGCCACGGAAUUAUCUGCCUGCCUGAGGGUACUGGUGGGGCUCCUGGAAAGAUGGGUUAAUCCUGCCUAUAGCAGGGAAUAGGCAACCGGACCUUCCUAGGGACGAGCGAUUCCUCGAGGAUAAGGAUUUAGACUUUAAUGUCUCCCUAGCAAAAGGGUUGAAGGACUUGGCCAUUAAGGGGACACUGGAUUUCAUAAAUUGUGUGAAAAGGCUGGAAGAUUUCAAAAAAAUAUUCCCACAUGGAAAGACUGUCCUGGCUGAGCGGGUUUAUGAUUCUUGGAAGAAUGAUGCCUUCUUUGGGUACCAGUUUCUCAAUGGUGCAAACCCCAUGCUCCUGAGGUGUUCUUCAAGGCUCCCAGCCUGCCUGGUGCUGCCUCCAGGGAUGGAAGACUUGAAGACCCAGCUGGAGAAAGAACUCCAGGCUGGAUCUCUGUUUGAAGUGGAUUUCUCCUUGCUGGAUGGAGUCAAGCCUAAUGUCAUCAUUUUUAAGCAGCAAUGCGUGGCAGCCCCUUUGGUCAUGCUGAAGCUUCAGCCUGAUGGAGGACUCUUACCCAUGGUCAUCCAGCUCCAGCCACCUUGACACGGAUGUCCCCCACCUCUGCUCUUUCUGCCCUCGCAUCCCCCCAUGGCCUGGCUCCUGGCCAAGACCUGGGUCCGGAGCUCUGAUUUCCAGCUGCAGCAGUUACAGUCACAUCUGCUGAGGGGACACUUGAUUGCUGAGGUUAUUGCUGUGGCUACAAUGAGAAGCUUGCCUAGCCUCCAUCCUAUCUACAAGCUCCUGAUCCCCCACUUCCGCUACACCAUGGCGAUCAACACGCUGGCCCAGAGUAGUCUUGUCUCCGAAUGGGGAAUUUUUGACCUGGUGGUGAGCACUGGUAGUGGAAGCCACGUGGACAUUCUUCAGAGAGCCAUGGCUUGUUUGACCUAUCAUUCCCUCUGUCCUCCUGAUGACCUGGCUGACCGUGGGCUCCUGGAUGUGAAAUCUUCUUUUUAUGGCUAAGAUGCCAUCAGGCUGUGGGGAAUCAUCAGCCGGGAAUAGGUACGUGGAGGGGAUGGUUGGGCUUUUCUACAAUAGUGACCAAGCCAUGAAGGAUGAUCUAGAGCUGCAGGCCUGGUGCAGAGAGAUGACUGAGACUGGACUGCAGAGGGCCCAAGACCAGGGGUUCCUCAUCUCCUUAGAGUCCCGGGCUCAGCUCUGCCACUUUGUCACCAUGUGCAUCUUCACAUGCACAGGUCAGCAUGCUUCUAACCACCUGGGCCAGCUGGACUGGUACUCCUGGAUCCCUAAUGGCCCAUGCACCAUGCAGAAGCCCCCGCCCAUCUCUAAGGAUGUGACAGAGAAGGAUAUAGUGGACUUACUGCCCAAUCUCCACCAGCAUGAGGAGAAAUAUUUCUCUGGUCCUGAGCCCCAAGCUGUGCUGAGACAAUUCCAGGAGGAACUGGCUUCCAUGGACAAGGAGAUUGAGGUCCGGAAUGCAGUCCUGGACCUGCCCUGUGAGUACCUUUGACCCAGCAUGGUAGAGAACAGCGUGACCAUCUGAGAGGCCUUGCCCGCCUCAGCUCCAAAGCUCCACCAUCCCUGAGUGCCUUUGAGUAUUCCGUCCUCCUCACAUCCUCUGGUGAACAAAUUGUCCCCAAAGCUUUGUGGUCAGGGUAUCCAGAGCUGCUCACCACACAACUAUGGGGAAUACACAGUGAUGGUCCCCAUUGCAUUUGGAAGUGGCAUCCCCCAAAGCUGCCCUACCUUAAAUGUCCAUCCAGUCCUGCACUUCCUCACCCCGAUCCCUGCACACCUCCUCAUUGCCAAAGGACCUGGCUUAGAUACAAGUAAAAAUAUAUGAUUAAAUAACAAAA
ensembl:lncRNA ALOX12P2 arachidonate 12-lipoxygenase pseudogene 2